CCUCGCUUAGCGCUUCGAAAAAAAAACAAAUCUAUCCAUUCGGGCGCCACACAAGUCAAGAAGCUUACAGCCAUGGGCCAUGGCGACGGCGGAGGCGGGGUUCUCCAGUUGACAGGAAUUUCUUCUACCAGAUCUUGCCGGUGGCGAUUGCGUACUGGCAGGAGAAACCAACCAAACUCUAGUCUGCACGACCACUGACUCGAGCAUUGGCGAUGUGGGUGAUGCAACGCUGACAGUACAGCUAGAUUUAAACAACACUUGCGAGGGGGUGACCUUGUCCACGCCCAAUUCAGAGCAGUCAACUGGCUAACAUGCUUUUCAGGCGCCCGGCUGGACCAAGAGGGUACCGUUGGACAUGCACCUACCAAACGCCCACAUGUGCUGAUCAGUGUCCUCGAGAAAAUCUUGAGAAGUUAUGCAGAGAAAAAGACUGACACAGUCAUAGUUUCAGCCGUUGGAAACAACUUUGAUUCACUCGGAGAAGCAUCUGACUAUUACAAUCGACAUUCCUGGGAAAUUGGGUUCGAAAUUAGACAUCUCCAGUAAUGAAAAUGAACACACCACUGGAAUUGCAUGCUAGUGGUGUCUGUCUACACUUGGGCUAUAUUUGAAAAGGUGAAGUUAUAUAGGAAUCAAUGCAGUACAAAGUAGAGGAGAUCAGUAAAGGAAAAAUCCUAUUUUGUGCGGCAAUAUCAUCCAGAGAAACACGGGAAGUGGUGCAGGGUUGUGUAUAAAGUUGAAGUUUUUGAGGAAGGGAAGGAACUGAUAUGCGAGUGUGCUAAUUUUGAGCACACAUGCUUGCUGUGCUGCCAUUCAGUAAAGGUCCUCGUUUUCCUUGGCGUAGAUUGGUCCAAGCAAAACAUAUUUUGAAAUGUUGGAAAAAAGAUGCAAGGGAUGUACUGCCAACCCACUUGUCGCAUCUUUACAAGGAUAACAUUUCUGUGAGCUCAAUAACAUUCAGGCACUGAAAUCUGUACACACAUGCUCUUGAGGUUGUGAGACUGGGGGAUGCAAACAUUGAAGCAUAUGAUUGUGCAAUGGAUAUGCUGAAGAGAACAGUGGAAAAAUUGACACCCAUAGCCGCUGUGCAGGAUGGAAUGGGGGUGGAAGACAGAAUUCAGACAAACAGGGGGAAAGAGAAAGAAGUGCUCCCAGCACGGGCAACCGGCAAUGCUUGUGGAAGCGAUGCUGAAGGUAGUGCAAUUGGUAGUUUCGUAGGUCUGAAAGCUCCAGAACGGAAACGAAAGUCUGGUCGACCAACCACAAGCAGGGAUAAGCCUCCAUAUGAUGAUCACGAUCUGCUUUACUGUGGUCUAUUUCGACCUGCAGAAAUGAUCAUGUCCUUUGAACACAGAAGGACUAUUGAUCCUUUUGUGAUUCUUCAUAAGGCUUGUCGGCUCAUUGAUUCUUAAAGAGGUGAUCUUCCUCAAAAAGAAAGGAAAGACGCAAAAUAUUUAAACUGUGGGGGUCGGUGGUCACAAGGAAGGUUGUGCUGCAUGUUGUUGAAAAUGCUACUUUAGAGGCAAAUGCAAUUUGUGGGUGACUUUGUUUAGUUUCAGUAUUUUUGUUCUGUGGUUGAGGGCUUAAUAGCCGCUAAUUGUAAGACGGUGUUGUUGUGAUAAUAACUAGUACUACAGUUGUGAUUG